GACCCCCUGAGCUUUUGGGAUCCCCACAGACCCCCCCUGAUAUUUGGGGUCAGGUGCCAGACCCCCUGAGCUUUUGGGGUCCCCACAGACCCCCCUGAGCUUUGGGGUCAGAUGCCCGACCCACUGAGAUUUUGGGGUCCCCACAGACCCCUCUGACAUUUGGGGUCAGGUGUUGGACCCCCUGAGAUUUUGGGGUCCCCACAGACCCCCCUGAGAUUUUGGGGUCCCCUCAGACCCCUCUGACAUUUUGGGGUCCGGUGUCGGACCCCCUGACAUUUGGGGUCAGGUGCCGGACCCCCCUGACCUUUUGGGAUCCCCACAGACCCUCCCUGAUAUUUGGGGUCAGGUGCCAGACCCUCUGAGCUUUUGGGGUCCCCACAGACCCCUCUGACAUUUGGGGUCAGGUGCCAGACCCCCCUGAGCUUUUGGGGUCCCCACAGACCCCCCGGGGGGGCUCAUCCCACCCCUCUCCAUCCCACUGUGCCUUGGGAAAGGGUUUUAUUCCCGAAGAAAUA